GACGAACGCUGGCGGCGUGCUUAACACAUGCAAGUCGAACGCAGUGGCGAACGGGUGCGUACUACGUGAGUAACCUGCCCUCCUUUUUGGGAUAAGCCUUGGAAACGGGGUCUAAUACCGAAUAAAGGGGGAUGGGCUCGCGGCCUAUCAGCUUGUUGGUGGGGUGAUGGCCUUCCAGGGCGGUGACGGGUAGCCGGCCUGAAAGGGUGACCGGCCACAGUGGGACUGAGAUACGGCCCAGACGCCGACGGGAGGCAGCAGUGGGGGAGAUUGCACAAUGGGCGAAAGCCGGAUGCAGCGACGCCGCGUGGGGGAUGAAGGCUUUCGGGUUGUAAACCUCUGUCGCUAUCGAGCGGGUAGGUGGAGAAGAAGCGCCGGCUAACUACGUGCCAACAGCCGCGGUAAUUC
rnacentral:rRNA from 1 species